rnacentral:rRNA from 1 species
GACGAACGCUGGCGGCGUGCUUAACACAUGCAAGUCGUACGGUAAGGCCCUUUCGGGGGUACACGAGUGGCGAACGGGUGAGUAACACGUGAGUAACCUGCCCACAACUUUGGGAUAACGCUAGGAAACUGGUGCUAAUACUGGAUAUGUUCUCCUGCUGCAUGGUGGGGGUUGGAAAGCUCCGGCGGUUGUGGAUGGACUCGCGGCCUAUCAGCUUGUUGGUGGGGUAGUGGCCUACCAAGGCGGCGACGGGUAGCCGGCCUGAGAGGGUGACCGGCCACAUUGGGACUGAGAUACGGCCCAGACUCCUACGGGAGGCAGCAGUGGGGAAUAUUGCACAAUGGGCGCAAGCCUGAUGCAGCAACGCCGCGUGCGGGAUGACGGCCUUCGGGUUGUAAACCGCUUUCAGCAGGGACGAAGCUUUUUGUGACUGUACCUGCAGAAGAAGCACCGGCUAACUACGU